rnacentral:rRNA from 1 species
GAUGAACGCUAGCGACAGGCCUAACACAUGCAAGUCGAGGGGCAGCGCGGGAGAAGCUUGCUUUUCCUGGCGGCGACCGGCGCACGGGUGAGUAACAGGUGUGCAAUCUGUCCUAUACCGGGGCAUAGCCCAGCGAAAGUUGGAUUAAUUCUCCAUGUGAGCGAGUGCCGCAUGACACACGCUUGAAACGUAAGGGUAUAGGGUGAGCACGCUUCUGAUUAGAUAGUUGGUGAGGUAACGGCUCACCAAGUCGACGAUCAGUAGGGGUUCUGAGAGGAAGGUCCCCCACAUUGGAACUGAGACACGGUCCAAACUCCUACGGGAGGCAGCAGUGAGGAAUAUUGGUCAAUGGGCGAAAGCCUGAACCAGCCAAGUAGCGUGCAGGAUGACGGCCCUACGGGUUGUAAACUGCUUUUAGGCGGGGGUAAAGUGCCGGACGCGUUCCGGUAUUGCAAGUACCGCCAGAA